AUAAGACCUGUGAAACUUUAAACACAUCUCCUGAAUGCAACUCAGACACUUUAAUUAAGCUAAGGCCUC
rnacentral:tRNA from 1 species